rnacentral:lncRNA from 1 species
CGAAAAAUGUUGAUAUCAAAAAGUGAGAUAAAAAGAUAAUUUAAGAGUGAAAACCCUUUAUUUAUAUCAAUUUAAAUUAAACUCAUAUUAAGCUAUGUUAAUCCUACAACUAUACCAAAAGAAGAAGAAAAGAAAAAAAAAUAAAAGAAAACAUUAAAGAAUGCUUAUGAGAUUGAACCCAUAACCUUUAGGCUACAUCUUAAACAGCUCUAAACAACAGACCUUAUUUUGGCAUUAUCCACCUCACUAUCUCGACCUCUUUCUUUAAUUCUUCACUUAUUCUCUCU